rnacentral:rRNA from 1 species
CCUGGCUCAGGAUGAACGCUGGCGGCAUGCUUAACACAUGCAAGUUGAACGAGUUUAAAUACUUAAACUUAGUAGCGGACGGGUGAGUAAUACGUAAGAAUUUACCUUUAGGAGAGGAAUAACCUUUGGAAACGAGGGCUAAUACCUUAUAAACUGUGGAGUAAAAAAUGAAUAAUUGCCUAGAGAUGAGCUUGCGUCUGAUUAGCUAGUUGAUAAGUUAAUAGCGUAUCAAGGCGACGAUCAGCAGUUGGUCUAAGAGGAUGAUCAACCACACUGGGACUGAGACACGGCCCAGACCCCUACGGAGGGCAGCAGUGAGGAAUUUUCCGCAAUGGGCGAAAGCCUGACGGAGCAAUGCCGCGUGAAGGAUGAAAGCUUGUGAGUUGUAAACUUCUUUUCUUAGCAAAGAAUUUAGACGGUAGCUAAGGAAUAAGCAUCGGCUAACUCCGUGCCAGCAGCCGCGGUAAUACGGAGGAUGCAAGCGUUAUUCGGAAUUAUUGGGCGUAAAGCGUUUGUAGGUGGCUUUUUAAGUCUACUGUUAAAUAUUAAGGCUUAACCUUAAAUAAGCGGUAGAAACUAAAAAGCUAGAGUUUAGUAGAGGUAGAGGGAAUCCUUGGUGUAGUGGUGAAAUGCGUAGAUAUCGGGAAGAACACCGGUGGCGAAAGCGCUCUACUGGGCUAAAACUGACACUAAGAGACGAAAGCUAGGGGAGCGAAUAGGAUUAGAUACCCUAGUAGUCCUAGCUGUAAACGAUGGAUACUAAGUAUUGAAUAAAACAAAAUCAGUGCUGUAGCUAACGCGUUAAGUAUCCCGCCUGGGAAGUAUGCUCGCAAGAGUAAAACUCAAGGGAAUUGACGGAGGCCCGCACAAGCGGUGGAGCAUGUGGUUUAAUUCGAUGCAACGCGAAAAACCUUACCAGGAUUUGACAUUUCAUAAAAGGUAAAGAAAUAUACUAAAUAUAUUAUGAAAACAGGUGGUGCAUGGCUGUCGUCAGCUCGUGUCGUGAGAUGUUGGGUUAAGUCCCGCAACGAGCGCAACCCUUAUUUUUAGUUCAUAUGUCUAAAGAGACUGCCGGCCAUAAGCCGGAGGAAGGUGAGGAUGACGUCAAGUCCGCAUGCCCCUUAUAUUCUGGGCGACACACGUGCUACAAUGGUUAAAACAAUAAGACGCUAAUUCGCGAGAAUGUGCAAAUCUUUGAAAUUUAAUCUCAGUUCGGAUUGUAGACUGCAACUCGUCUACAUGAAGUUGGAAUCGCUAGUAAUCACCGGUCAGCCAUACGGUGGUGAAUAUGUUCUCGGGCCUUGUACACACCGCCCGUCACGUUACGAAAGCUGGUUAUACCCGAAGUCAUGAUUUUAACCUAUUUGUUGGAAAAUAGUGCCGAAGGUAGGGCGAGUAAUUGGAACGAAGUCGUAACA